CUGAGACUGAAUGCUAAUAGGGGACACAAUUAUGAAUUGAAAAUAGUGCUGGUCCUCAAAGAGAUAAUUCACUGUGUCCUGCAGUUUUCCUACAGUUGAAAGAAAUGAACAGUUCAGAAAGUCUGAAACUUGCAGUAUGAAGUUAGUACCUAUGGGUUAUGAUGUUUACCAGAGGCCACAACACAUGUGGCAUUGCAGGCGAUUGCAUACAGAAGCAGAUCUGAGGAUCCAGCUGUCUACUACUACUAUAUAUGAGUUGUAAAAUGUAAAAUAAUGUAACUCUUCUCACUAAAUCUGUGUGUGUUUCUGCACAGUGUACAGAAAACAUCAAUAAAUAAA